rnacentral:rRNA from 1 species
AGUGAACGCUGGCGGUAGGCCUAACACAUGCAAGUCGAACGGCAGCACAGUACUAGCUUGCUCUUACGGGUGGCGACUGGCGGACGGGUGAGGAAUACAUCGGAAUCUACUUUUUCGUGGGGGAUAACGUAGGGAAACUUACGCUAAUACCGCAUACGACCUACGGGUGAAAGCAGGGGAUCUUCGGCCCUUGCGCGAUUGAAUGAGCCGAUGUCGGAUUAGCUAGUUGGCGGGGUAAAGGCCCACCAAGGCGACGAUCCGUAGCUGGUCUGAGAGGAUGAGCAGCCACACGGGAACUGAGACACGGUCCAGACUCCUACGGGAGGCAACAGUGGGGAAUAUUGGACAAUGGGGGCAAGCCUGAUCCAGCCAUACCGCGUGAGUGAAGAAGGCCUUCGGGUUGUAAAGCCCUUUUGUUGGGAAAGAAAUCCAGCCGGCUAAUACCUGGUUGGGAUGACGGUACCCAAAGAAUAAGCACCGGCUAACUUCGUG